GGGCCGGCCUGGAGGCCUGGCGCAACCCUUCGGGGCCUCCAAGGACCCAGUUGGGGGGGCAGGAAGGGGCUGGAGGAUGGUUGGUGGUGGGCUUUCUGCUUUGCCUUUUCCUCCUUAUGCCGCCUUAGAGAGGGUCCGGAGCUCUGGCAGCAGCUCCGGGGUGGGGAUCUGAGCUCCCGGAGUCGGAAGAGCUGGGUUUGUUUCCGGGCCUAGCCACCAGCUGGCCGACUGACCUUAGGCAAGUCACUCUAAUUUGUCUGCGCCUCAGUUUCCUCCUCUGCCUGUGUUUGGGAUUGAAAUCGCUUUGUAAACUGCAAAGUGCUGUAUUCAUAAAGGAUGAGUAUCGUUUGUAAUGGUUAUUGAGUUGCUAGAAAACAUCAGUUGCCAGAUCUCUCAGAUUUGGAACCUAGGAACCUUGGAUUGGAGUUGGAGAUCCGCAAAGUCCCUGAAUUGUACGUAGAAAUUUGUGGGGAUAUGCAUAUUAAGCGACUGGUGUGCCAUUGCUAGCAAGUUUCUAAAGGGGACUGUGACCCAGAAGAGUUGAUGACAGUUUUUUUAUACCACAGAGAGGAAACUGAGGCCUAGAUGUCAUUUGGGACCCUUCACAAUCAAUUUGAAGCCCCCUUUUGAGUCCCUGGGAUAUGUGAGCUGUUUCCUAUGCAUAAUGGAUAUUCGGGAUAACAAUACUCCCCUGCUUGGCCUCUCUUUUGAACCCUUUCUUGUCAUCAUGGGGUGCCUGAAGGGCGGCUGAUGCAUAUGGUACAGUGGCACCCAUAAAGCAGCUACAAUUAGGAGUAGAUGUAGUCAGUAAUACCAAGAAGUGAAUUCAGUGUUUGGCCCAGGAGUUCUUCGUUGUCUGCUGCUUGUACUGGUGCCUGACUACCUUUUUGACUUUUAUCAUUUUCCACGACUAUGGUUGCCAUCCUUUACUUGAUUGUUUUGUAUUCCCUAGUUUGUGUGGUUGGUGGUGAACAGGCUUAUUUUUAAAUGAUGGUGCCAAGCCUAGCUAAUUAAUGGUGCACGUGAAUUUUCAACAAGUGGGCUCAUGGGAAUAGGCUGAACCACACAUGGAAUUCCUAAAGAUGUUUAACGGUUUUUCUUUAUUAAUUCAAGGUUAACAAUCUCCCAGAAAUUUUGUUAGAACACCUACUGAACCUCAAAAUCAGUAGGUUUGGAGAUGAUUCCAACCCUAACUUUUUCCUGGUCUGCCUUGCAUUCUAAUUGCUUUCAACUGUGAUACUGACAAGGCCAAAAUGCCAUUUUUUUGUUUCUUUGUUGUCAGCUGCUUUUAUCAAAUUUCAGACCAUUGUCCAGUAAACACUAUAAAAAUGUUUGAACAAUUGAAUUUCAAACAUUUUCAUUUUGUGGAGUGGUGCUUACCAAGUGGUACAGCUCUAAGCAAGUGAAUACAAACAGUAAGUGUAGUUUGUCUGAGUAGAUGUUAACCAGUUCUAUUUCAUUCAAAUGUUUGGGGAAAUAAUUGCGUAUUCCCUUUACCUAAAGGGCAGAGACAAAUGUUUCACUUCCAGAGAAAUGACUGUUUUGGAGAAAAAUGUGUUCUUUAGCUCUUUUGUAAUUAAAUCUGGAUGUACCUCAAAAGACUCUUAAGACUGUGGUGAUAAGAGGCUUUUCUCCAGAAAAAGGAAAAAAGCAACUGGAACUCAAAGCUUGAAAUUCUGUGACAGAACAUGAGAUGUCCAGGAUUGGAGGUUGAGAAGGUUUUGCUACAAUGUUCUGCGAUCAUCGAAGAAUUUACCUUUCAGUGCAGCCGCAGCCAUGGACUCCAGAUUUCCAAGAACUGGAUCUGCAACCUAGAAGAGCUUGUCAGGAUGUGGCAGAAACUGGAGGUCGCUUUUUUUUUUUUUAAUUACAUUUUGGAACUGUUGAUCUUGUUGUAAGAAAAGAGGCAACAACUGAGCAAGCUUUACCACCAGUGCUGUUACUGGGAAUCGGAAGACCUGAGUUUCUGCCCAGACUGUCAAAGUAAACUGACCAAACAUCAUCGAAAGUCAAUUAUGUCCUGUGCCUCCUGAUUGCUGAGUGUUCACCUGGACCUUCUGACCACCUUCCUUCUGCUGGUCCAUCAGCCUACACAUCUGAUACUUGGAUUUUUGCUCAUGGUGAUUUCUGCCAACUUACUACUGAAGAAGACACCAUUCCAGUGGACCACUGUGAGCCAAGAGGCGUUCAACCAUGAUGAUGUGGCCUUGACCUCCACUCCAAUUCUGGUCUGCCCAGAUUCAGCACAGCCCUUUAUUGUGCAGAGUCCUCAAGCCAAAUAGCUAGAGCUAUUUUAUUACAACAAAGGCCCAAUUUAUUCCAUAAGUGUGCAUUUCAUUUCUUCAGUUGAAGUCUUCAGAGACAUGUAAUAAACUUGGACCAGGGAUUUUUAAUUAUCAACGCUGUCCAAAGAAAGACAACAAACAUCUCUCUGAGAACAGCAUUGGACCAUACCCUACAAUCUCAAAUGAUUAAAGUUCAUGAACUGUCUAGGAUCCCAUGAAGGUCCCUGGACCAUGUUCUUUUUCUACUUAAAAUCUGUAGUAGCCUACUGAAUGAGACUCAUUGGGAUCAAAACCAAGGCACAGUAAAUUCCUCAUGGCAUCUUUGGGAUUACUCAGGAACCAGAACUUUUCACACAAAUGUAAGCAAUUCUGCCAAGGAAUCCCUUUACCUAACAGCAUCUCGCAAGGCUCCAGUCAGAUUCCAGAAAAGGCCUCUUAAUAACUUCAAGAUAAAAGCUAUAUGGUAAUUCCCUCUGUUUAUAUAGCACUUUACAGUUUCAAAGCACUUUUCUUAUGUUUAUCUCAUUUAUCAAAAUACAGUAACAUUCCUUUUUGAAAUGAGGGAACAAAAAUUUAAGUGACUUACUUAUCCAAGGUAACAUAGCUACAAAGUGGGAGAGGCUAGGCCUUUUGACUCCUGGUCCAGUAUUUUCCUUGGCAUUAACUUAGCCUUUAUCCACAGUGUUAAAAUGAAAUUGGAAACUCCAAAAGAUUCCAACUUCUUUGUUUGGUGCCCCUAUUAGGCAGGAUAUUGUAAAUAUAAUUCAUAUAAUCCAUGGCAACAUCCCUAUGGUGUGAGAGCAAAGGGUCUUCAUGAUGAUAAAUUGUCCAAAGUGGCAGGUAUUCAUCAGACAAUAAGGAUACCUAAUAUGAAACACAAGCUGCUUUUAGAUCUUUUGUCUAUUUUCAUGGUUUGCCCAAGAAAGACCUAACAGACAUUUUUCUUAAAAAAUUAAGACUCACAAAUACUGAGAUUACCUGUAAUCCUCUGCCCCCAAACUAAUAUUUACACAAAAUGAGCCAUUUUUUUUAAUGUAUAGCUGUCAUAUGUGGAGAGUUUCUGUUAUCCCAUAAGGUGGUAAAAUACUGUAAGAUGUGUCCCUUCUCACUAGCCCACAAUGCAUUGUUAUAUAUUAAAGGUUUCCAAAAGACUUGCAGCAAAGACCUCUUUAUCUUAGCCUGUUGUGUCCUAAUGUAAAGACAAUGUAAUUUUUGGUAACAUUCCUUUUAAUAGAAUGGGAAGCUAGAAUGAUAUAACUAGGGUUUCCUGAUUAUCAACAUAUUGGCCUGGAAACCCCAUAAUACAGUGUCUUUGAAACCUGCCUUUUUCAUACCUUGACCUUAACUGCUUGAACUCAUUCAUCCCUAUCAUCUGAGAGUCCUGCAUCUUGAUUAUUACUUUAAGUUUUUUUUAAAUCAAAGGAGCUUCUAGAAUAAAUACGGAACUAUAUGGGGAGGAUAAUGGGAGAAUGUUAAUUCUGCCCCCUCCCCAAAGGGUGAGUUCCAUAACAUUUAGCAGUAUAUUUCUUAGAAUUGCGCUAUAAAACGUUUUUUUAAGGCAUUGCAUCUUAGGUGGGUAAGGACAUUGGGAAGGGAAGUAGAAGGGAAGGAUAAAGAGGAAAUACUUUCUUUAGAAUUUGAGUUAUGGUCCAUUGAGAUCUUACUGCUUAAGAGAAGUCACCUAGCCAUGGACUUCUUGAAAUAAUGUUUACAAAGAAAUGAUACGUUUUUUUUGCAACUAUAUGCAAAAGCCUUAGAGCUAUUGCAACUUAAAACCAAUAGUCUUGUCCUCUGGCAUUCUUAUUUAUAAACUCAACUUCAAGCAAUUGAAAUUUAUACUAGACUUGAGUUUUAGCUCCAUUACCCUGUAAUAUAGUCUACCUUAGGGAAAGAAUGAAUAGAAAAACACCUUAUUUUACCACAGGCUUUGCUCACCCAAUUUCUGGUUUCUGUGACCUAUUUUUUCUAUUUCAGCAUUUUGUGAACACCUUAUUCUUAGAUUAUUUGUUUUCCAAAGGCUUUGUGGCCAUGAAGCCAUUUGAAUGAAAGCUAUGUGGAAGCCCAGAGUAAAAGUGAAGCUGCUCUGGAUGAAGUGAAGCAAGAGUGGGGGUCUGCAGCCUGCCACAAGCAUCUUCCUUUACCACCAUGCUGACACCUAAAGGGACUUCUUUACAACAUGUAGAACUGCUGAACAGUUUGAAAACCACUGCCCUAUACAACAUGUUUGAUCUGAAUGGCUCUCUGAUCUUUUCUGUAUCUCCACUUAUUAUAGUCCAUAAUCAGUUGAUGCUGAACAUUCUUAGGAAUAUUUACUGUGUACAGACUUUAAAAAGUAUAUAAUGGGCAUGCCUUUGGCCCCCAAAAUGUUCAUAUGGACUGAAAGUGGUGGCAAAUGAACCUUUCUCACUAGCCCUGUAAUCCAGAUGAACUUACAGUGAUUCCUGGAAUUGGAUAUAGUCAGUAAUUCAUAUGCACUCUACACUAACAAACCCUACUAAGCAGCAUCCACAAAUAUGAAAUACACUCGUGGUACUUGAAGUACAUGACUGAAGUCUUGAACUCUUUUUGGAUACGUGAAUUGCCUGCAAGCUGGAAACUGAUGCCUCACUGUGGCCAUCGUAGACCAACUUCUACAUUAGACCUUUCAUCAUUAGCCAUGGUACUCUAUUUCGUGUCAAGAAACAGUCAUUAACUACAAAAGCAGAAUUUAGAUGCUAACAUUUUCUAAAGGGACAAAGUACCUGGUUGUCAUUCUUCAUCUUAAACUGCAAAUCACUAUGUGACUCAGCCUGGUUAACACUAGGUUACGUUCCUCCUUGGCUUUUAUUCAUUUUUCUGUUUUGAGGAUCAAUGACUUAACCUUUAAAAAUAAAAACCCAAAACAAUUUCUUCAUUGGCUUAUCUACUGAUUCUCUGUAAAUACUGACUACUCAUCUUUACGUGUAACAGCUGAUCUUAAAGACAGUUUUUGAGCAUCCUUUCUCAUAUGUGUGACAUCAAAUAGAGUCAUUGGGAAAAAUUUCUUCUAGCCAGUAAAAGAUACUCUUCUAAGAUGACUUGAUACCUGAUACCAUCAUAUGGUAGGGAUAGUUGGACCCAGGCCCUUUGACCAAGAUAUGGUGACCUGAUGGUGACUUCAAAUGUAUUGUCUAUAUUUUGCUGCAAAUGUAGACUAACAAAAAAAAACAAAAAACUAAAGAUGGCAGCUAAGGAUUUCACCAAUAGACUGAAGAGCUGUCCUUGUAGAUGUUUGAAUGGAAUGACAUCUGUCUCAGGACUGUCAUUUACAUUGAUUCAGUGUGAUUGGCUUCAUUUCUUGCUAUGAGAUACUCUUAGGCAUUAAGACAAUUUGUUUCUGUAGGAAGACUUUAAUUCCUGAUUUAUAGACAGGAAUAUUCCAGGGCUAUGCCAAUUUAUAUCCUAAGAAAAUCUCAUUCCUUUACUUCAUAGUUAAUUGAAGGGCCAGUCAUCUUCAGCUGCUCUUAUGAAUGCACUGGUUAAAUGUUGGAAAUGGUUUCUUCAUAUCCUUUCCCUUGUUCUCUAAUCUGAUCACAUGACUUGGUCUACAUACCAUCAAACAAGGCUUAGGUCCAGUUGCUCUUGACUGCUCAACCUCAGCAAAUUACUAUCUGGAUGACUGUUUUGCUUGGAUAUACAACUAUAAUGCAUAAAGAAGAAAUUAUCUGCAAGCUCACAUUUCUACUUACAAUUGUCAGAUUUUUUUUUUCUCUCUGCUUUUUCCUGUGUGUACCUUGCAGAAAAAAGAUGUUGACCUACACUGCCAGUCAUUCCUUCUGAUCUUCCUAUACUCAGUUAAGAUGAGAGUAAUCAUCUGUUCAAGAGUCUUAUGUACACUUAAAAAAAAAAAUUGGUGAUUGGAAAAAGCCUAAAACUUAAAGCUAGGAGACUGCCUACUGUCUCCAUGCCUCAGAUUUUAUCCAAGUCUUUCAGUGUGCCAUUCAGCCAAUCUGAAACUAUGACUUGGCUAUAAGAAUUCUCAGAGAUGUGCUAAGUUACAGAAGAUGAAGAUUUGAUAACCAAAGAAAGUAGGGCCAACUUCAACAAACCUGACUCUACCACCCUUUUACUCCCAGAUAUAGGAUAGACUGCUAAACAGAACCUCAAGUCUGGACUAAGGAUAUGGCUUUCUCCUGAGAUGGUAGUUCUUGGGCAGAUGAGCAGGGAAAAAAAGCCGCUAUAUCUGACUUGCCCUUUGAAAUCAGAAAAUUAUAUCUGGCAUAAGCCCUGUGAAGUAACUGAAGUACCCAGGGCAAAAACUAAUUUCUGGAUUCAUUUAUUAAUCUGCCUGUUCUUCCAGGUGAUAUCCUGGUUAUUGGUUUGACUGGCCCUGCUGAAGUUACUCUGUCAGUUUACCUGUUUCAGCUAUUAACUGCCUUGUUGGACUUGCUGCAAUCAACUGUUGACCUUGAGAAGACUACAACCAGUUUCAGCUUAACUUGUGCCGAAUUCCACCAAGGAUUUCUAAAUAGAAAUUAGCUUGUACCUCACAAGACUUAAUGUUCACAACAGAAAGUACCAGUUUCACACACCUUGACUAACAGCUUUUUUAUUUUUUUUAAAUGGAGAGUAAGACACUAUGUUUGCUCAUGUAAAGCACCUGGGAUCUCUGCACAUCUGCAAAGAGUACAACAGAUUGAAAAUAGAGUCCAUUUCUCUCUUCUGCAGUAACACACAAUGAGUCUUGAUUUAUCAGUACUAACAGAAAUGUUUUGUUUCAACUUUUGCAAGACUUAAAGGGAUAUUAGAAAAGUUUUUCACUGAACUUAAAUUACCACUGACGCAAAUAGCCUCACCGAACUGUGUUUGCCAGUGGGAGGCUAGUGGUCCUGCUGCUUGUCACCCAAGAUGGUGGGGCUCUGGAAAAAACCUAAAACUUGAGUUUGCAUGCAUUGAAAUUCUAUAGUAUCAUCCAAAGUAUCCUACUGGAUAUGAUUAUUCCACUCAAAUGGACUAUAGGCUUCCUAAAGACAAGACAAAUUUACACUCAUGGCUAUUUUUAGAAUAAUUCCAUUACUGAGGAGCCAGCUGUAACUACAUUCACCUUUAUGAGCAGAAGUUAAAUCUUUUUCAACCUCUGGUUUAUUCUGGACAUAAAUUGUUUUUGAUUGCCCAGCAUCCAUUCCAUUUCAUUUUAACAACUCCCUGAUAUUUCCUGGAACCAUCACUUCCUAUUUUCAGUUGAUGUGGUUUGGACAGUCUGACCCAACCUUGGGCUCUGUGAGUAGACGUAUAUCACUCAGACCUCAUCAGUCAGCAGAGGCCAUCUCCUUAACCAUACCAAUUCUUUCUAGAGUAUUCAUAUGAUUUACAAGUUGGUCCAGUGAUAACUCAUUUCUCUGAAUUUUACUGAGUAAUGGAGGAGAACAAAUUCUCUUUACUGAGGUGCUUUAGUUUGUAGGAUUAAAAAUUCAAACCAACAGGGUCUACCACAUUGAAUGAGCCAGUCAGAGAAUGAAGCCAGUGCAAAGGAAAGCAGAGCCAAAAGAUGGAAAGACUCGAGUCCUGAUGACAGCAUUUUUGCUCCUGGAUCCAGCUGUGCCUGAAGCUAGUAUAUCCCUUGGACUUUUCAGUUAUGUGAAACAAUAAAUACACUUUUUGUUUAAGUUA